GACGAACGCUGGCGGCGUGCCUAAUACAUGCAAGUAGAACGCUGAAGGAGGAGCUUGCUUCUCUGGAUGAGUUGCGAACGGGUGAGUAACGCGUAGGUAACCUGCCUGGUAGCGGGGGAUAACUAUUGGAAACGAUAGCUAAUACCGCAUAAGAGUAGAUGUUGCAUGACAUUUGCUUAAAAGGUGCAAUUGCAUCACUACCAGAUGAACCUGCGUUGUAUUAGCUAGUUGGUGAGGUAACGGCUCACCAAGGCGACGAUACAUAGCCGACCUGAGAGGGUGAUCGGCCACACUGGGACUGAGACACGGCCCAGACUCCUACGGGAGGCAGCAGUAGGGAAUCUUCGGCAAUGGACGGAAGUCUGACCGAGCAACGCCGCGUGAGUGAAGAAGGUUUUCGGAUCGUAAAGCUCUGUUGUAAGAGAAGAACGAGUGUGAGAGUGGAAAGUUCACACUGUGACGGUAUCUUACCAGAAAGGGACGGCUAACUACGUG
rnacentral:rRNA from 1 species